UACGUAGGUGGCUAGCGUUGUCCGGAUUUACUGGGCGUAAAGAGCGCGCAGGCGGUCGUGCAAGUCGCGUGUGAAAGCCCCCGGCUCAACUGGGGAGGGUCACGCGAUACUGCUCGACUCGAAGGCAGGAGAGGGAAGUGGAAUUCCCGGUGUAGUGGUGAAAUGCGUAGAUAUCGGGAGGAACACCAGUGGCGAAGGCGACUUCCUGGCCUGUUCUUGACGCUGAGGCGCGAAAGCUAGGGUAGCAAACGGGG
rnacentral:rRNA from 1 species